GAUGAACGCUGGCUCCAGGCUUAACACAUGCAAGUCGAGGGGAAACGACGGGGAAGCUUGCUUCCCCGGGCGUCGACCGGCGCACGGGUGAGUAACGCGUAUCCAACCUGCCUCUGACUGAGGGAUAACCCGUCGAAAGUCGGCCUAAUACCUCAUGGCAUCGUCUGCGGGCAUCCAACGACGAUUAAAGAUUUCAUCGGUCAGGGAUGGGGAUGCGUCUGAUUAGCUUGUUGGCGGGGUAACGGCCCACCAAGGCUACGAUCAGUAGGGGUUCUGAGAGGAAGGUCCCCCACAUUGGAACUGAGACACGGUCCAAACUCCUACGGGAGGCAGCAGUGAGGAAUAUUGGUCAAUGGGCGGGAGCCUGAACCAGCCAAGUAGCGUGCAGGAUGACGGCCCUAUGGGUUGUAAACUGCUUUUAUGCGGGGAUAAAGUGAGGGACGUGUCCUUCAUUGCAGGUACCGCAUGAAUAAGGACCGGCUAAUUCCGUG
rnacentral:rRNA from 1 species